CCGAUAGCGAAGGCAGCUCACAAAAUUACAACUGACACUGAGGCACGAAAGCGUGGGUAUCAAACAGGAUUAGAUACCCUGGUAGUCCACGCUGUAAACGAUGAUCACUAGCUGUUUGCGAUACAUUGUAAGUGGUUAAGCGAAAGCGAUAAGUGAUCCACCUGGGGAGUACGUCGGCAACGAUGAAACUCAAAGGAAUUGACGGGGGCCCGCACAAGCGGAGGAGCAUGUGGUUUAAUUCGAUGAUACGCGAGGAACCUUACCUGGGCUUGAACGUAUGGUGCAUGAGUGUGAAAGCACUCUUUCCUUCACAGGACUCCAUACGAGGUGCUGCAUGGUUGUCGUCAGCUCGUGCCGUGAGGUGUUAGGUUAAGUCCUGCAACGAGCGCAACCCCUGUUUUUAGUUGCCAUCAGGUUAUGCUGGGCACUCUAGAAAGACUGCCUGCGCAAGCAGAGAGGAAGGUGGGGAUGACGUCAAAUCAGCACGGCCCUUACGUCCAGGGCUACACACGUGCUACAAUGGUCGGCACAGAGGGUUGCUACCCGGCAACGGGAUGCUAAUCUCCAAAGUCGAUCUUAGUUCAGAUCGAAGUCUGCAACUCGACUUCGUGAAGUUGGAUUCGCUAGUAAUCGUAUAUCAGCCAUGAUACGGUGAAUACGUUCCCGGGCCUUGCACACACC
rnacentral:rRNA from 1 species